rnacentral:rRNA from 1 species
UACGGGGGGGCAAGCGUUGUUCGGAAUUACUGGGCGUAAAGGGCUCGUAGGUGGCCAACUAAGUCAGACGUGAAAUCCCUCGGCUUAACCGGGGAACUGCGUCUGAUACUGGAUGGCUUGAGUUUGGGAGAGGGACGCGGAAUUCCAGGUGUAGCGGUGAAAUGCGUAGAUAUCAAGAGGAACACCUGAGGUGAAGACGGGUUGCUGGGCUGACACGUGACUGAGGCG